rnacentral:lncRNA from 1 species
UGAUGACAACAUUAUUGAGAUCUCUCAUAUAUUCGUUCUUUUUAGUUUUGUUUUUCUUUUUUUUAAAGAAACUUUCUUUAAAAAGGGGAUACGCAGAAAACAUCUCAUGGGGAAAACUUAAAGUUUAGCCAUAAGUAUAAAUUAAAACAGAUUUGAGUAUUCAAAAACUGAAAAAAAAGGGCAGGCAUGACUUUUACUGGGUACCAAGAAAACCACGAUCAGGACCACAAUCAGAUUAAACAGUUGCUUUGGACAAAUCACAAAACUAAGUCCAAAUUACUAUUAUGUAAUCCAGGUGUUCUCGAUCCUAAUGACGCAUCAAAAAAGAAACCCACAAAUCUUUUAGAUACCUAUGCCAAACUCCCAAAGUACUGCUCUACAAAGAUGAGGCC